rnacentral:rRNA from 1 species
AGCUCCAAUAGCGUAUAUUCAAGUUGCUGCAGUUAAAAAGCUCGUAGUUGAAUUUUGGUCCUGACUAGGUGGUUUGGUCGCGAGAUCAACACUGCCUGGUCGGGACUUUCCUUCUAGGGAACUAGGGUGCUCUUUAUUGAGUGCUCUAGGGAUCUAGAACUGUUACUUUGAAAAAAUUAGAGUGUUUAAAACAGGCUUACGCUUGAAUACAUUAGCAUGGAAUAACGGAAUAGGACUUUGUUUCUAUUUUGUUGGUUUUCAGAAACGAAGUAAUGAUUAAUAGGGAUAGUUGGGGGCAUUAGUAUUCCAUAGUCAGAGGUGAAAUUCUUGGAUUUAUGAAAGACUAACUUCUGCGAAAGCAUUUGCCAAGGAUGUUUUCAUUAAUCAAGAACGAAAGUAG